CCCAUGGGAUGUCUAAGCCGUGCGAGUCAUUGUAGUAAUACAAGGCAGACGGCUCAGUAACGCGUAGUCAACCUACUCUAAGGACGGGGAUAACCUCGGGAAACUGAGAAUAAUACCCGAUAGAACAUAGCUCCUGGAAUGGUUUAUGUUUCAAAUAAUUUAUUGCCCUAGGAUGGGACUGCGGCCUAUCAGUUUGUUGGUGAGGUAAUGGCCCACCAAGACUAUUACAGGUACGGGCUCUGAGAGGAGUGGCCCGGAGAUGGGUACUGAGACACGGACCCAGGCCCUAUGGGGCGCAGCAGGCGAGAAAACUUUGCAAUGUGCGAAAGCACGACAAGGUUAAUCCGAGUGGUUUCUGCUAAAGGAACCUUUUGUCAGUCCUAGAAACACUGAUGAAUAAGGGGUGGGCAAGUUCUGGUGUCAGCCGCCGCGGUAAAACCAGCACCUCAAGUGGUCAGGAUGAUUAUUGGGCCUAAAGCAUCCGUAGCCGGCUUUGUAAGUUUUCGGUUAAAUCCAUGCGCUCAACGUAUGGGCUGCCGGGAAUACUGCAAAGCUAGGGAGUGGGAGAGGUGGACGGUACUCGGUAGGAAGGGGUAAAAUCCUUUGAUCUAUUGAUGACCACCUGUGGCGAAGGCGGUCUACCAGAACACGUCCGACGGUGAGGGAUGAAAGCUGGGGGAGCAAACCGGAUUAGAUACCCGGGUAGUCCCAGCUGUAAACUAUGCAAACUCAGUGAUGCAUUGGCUUGAUGCCAAUGCAGUGCUGCAGGGAAGCCGUUAAGUUUGCCACCUGGGAAGUACGUACGCAAGUAUGAAACUUAAAGGAAUUGGCGGGGGAGCACCACAAGGGGUGAAGCCUGCGGUUCAAUUGGAGUCAACGCCGGA
rnacentral:rRNA from 1 species